UACGGGGGGGGUAAGCGUUGUUCGGAAUUACUGGGCGUAAAGCGCGUGUAGGCGGCCUCUCAAGUCGGGUGUGAAAGCCCGGGGCUCAACCCCGGGAUGCCGCUCGAAACUGGGAGGCUUGAGGACGGAAGAGGGGGGUGGAAUUCCUGGUGUAGCGGUGAAAUGCGUAGAGAUCAGGAGGAACACCCGUGGCGAAGGCGGCUCACUGGCCCGGUACUGACGCUGAGGCGCGAAAGCGUGGGGAGCAAACAGG
rnacentral:rRNA from 1 species